rnacentral:pre_miRNA from 1 species
CCACAGGGAACAUUCAACGCUGUCGGUGAGUUUGUGCUCUAAGGAAAACCAUCGACCGUUGACUGUACCUUGAGG